rnacentral:rRNA from 1 species
AGUGAACGCUGGCGGUAGGCCUAACACAUGCAAGUCGAACGGCAGCACAGUAAGAGCUUGCUCUUACGGGUGGCGAGUGGCGGACGGGUGGGGAAUACAUCGGAAUCUACUUUUUCGUGGGGGAUAACGUAGGGAAACUUACGCUAAUACCGCAUACGACCUACGGGUGAAAGCAGGGGAUCUUCGGACCUUGCGCGAUUGAAUGAGCCGAUGUCGGAUUAGCUAGUUGGCGGGGUAAAGGCCCACCAAGGCGACGAUCCGUAGCUGGUCUGAGAGGAUGAUCAGCCACACUGGAACUGAGACACGGUCCAGACUCCUACGGGAGGCAGCAGCGGGGAAUAUUGGACAAUGGGCGCAAGCCUGAUCCAGCCAUACCGCGUGGGUGAAGAAGGCCUUCGGGUUGUAAAGCCCUUUUGUUGGGAAAGAAAAGCAGCAGGUUAAUACCCCGCUGUUCUGACGGUACCCAAAGAAUAAGCGCCGGCUAACUUCGUG